ensembl:lncRNA
CUUUGCCAGCUCAAACUCCACCCUCUGGAGAGGAGCAGAGAGGUGGAGUAGGGGAGGGGUGGGGGGCCGGGUCUCUAGGGGACAAUUCUUUUUUCAGGCUCUGGGCCAAAGGUCACGUGCAGGGGUCCUGAGGGAGGGAAUCCUCGCCACUUUCCUUCUCCAGAAUCUGCUUUUCAUACAAAAGGGAAAGGGGCUUUGGGACCAUUAGUGAAGUCAUUUCCAUUUUACAGACAGAAGACCAAGGCCCAGUGUGGGGAAGAGCCGCCUCUGGGGUCACCUGUGAGUUCAGUGGCACCCCCAGCCUGGGCCGCCUCCUCCCACCUGAGGCUGAGCUGGAGCCAGGGCAGGACGAGGUGGGGACACCAUUUCCCAUGACGCUUCCUCCUCCCUUGUCUCCAUGGAGCUUCCCAGUGGCCUUGGAAGGAUGGGCAGGGCGAAUUGUAGCCCUUCCGAGUGGUGAACAAACUGAGGCCCAGAAACAGGAAGUGACUUGCCCAAGACCCCUCAACAAGUGAGUGAUGGGGACAGAACCAGGGGCGCCAUUGUGCUUCCCUCCUUCACGGGACAGGAGGCCAUUGCUCCGGGCAUGUCUGCCAUGAUAAGUAUUUGUGGCCUUUAAGCCUUGGGCCACCCAGCCCUGCCUGGUUCCAUCUCAGCGGGCCAGUGACUUUUCUGGGCCUGGGUUUGGGGGAGAAGGUUGCCAUAGAGAAUAAGCUCUCCUGGGGGUCUGGCCAGCUGACUGAGCGUGCACAGGAUUUGGUCCAGGCCUUGUUGUUUGGGUGGGGGCUCCCACCAAGGGGCCAUAACCUGUCCAGGACCUACUUGAGGGAGGCAGGACCCCCGUUCCUGCCCAUGGCUGUGUGGGAGUGAGGCGGCUGUGGGACACCUCAUCUUAAGGAAAUCCUCACAACCUUCAGAUUAAUAAUACCUGAGCUUCCCGUAGUGCUUUGCAAACUUUUUUGUUUUCAAAGUGCUUUUACCUCUGGUACACCCUCACAAAGCUCCUGGGGCAGUAAGAGGGGGGCCCAUGUUAUCAGCCCCAUUUUAAAGAGCCCUGUUGGGGGGAGGGGGAGGCACCUGUUAAGGUUUCACUGUGAGUUAGUGGCUGAGCCCGGACUGGAACCCAGUUCUCCAACAGCUCAGAGCUCACUCUUCUCCACGAGGAGGGGAAGCAGGCAGUUUGGGGUGGUUAUGCAAGCUGAUUGGCCAUCCAGCUCCUUAAACCAGGAGCUCCUGGGCGCAUUUCAGUGUUCAGAAGCAGCUCUGAGCCCCACUCCCUUUGGAGCACAGCUGUUGCGUCCAGCAAGGCCACCUGCAUUUAUUUAUUGAGCAGCAGCGCUGUGCCGAGCCCAGGGGACCAAGCGCUCCCUGUUCCCCUGUAAUGACUCCUGUGGCCCUCUGGGAGGGCCCCAUGUCUGUAUAGUGGCACCUCAGAGUGGACGGAAAGCUUUCAUGUCCAUGAGCUCAUCUGACUCACAGACCCCAUGGGGAGGCUGACUGCCCAUUUUACUCAUAGCUUCUGUGAGGCAAAGUGGAGACUUGAACCCGGGGCCUCAGGCUGGGGCCUCCCUCCCUCCACCCACCUUUCCCUCAUUCCCUCUCUGGGAGCAGGAGCCACUCGGGCCUUUGGGGAGGGAGGGUUUCCAGGGCCCCUGGGUUGGAGUGGGUCACGUUGCAUUGUGUUCA